rnacentral:rRNA from 1 species
GGAAGGAAUUAUCCAACACAAAAAGUGGGUCUGUGAAUGGCUCCUUAGACCAGUUGUCAUCUAUGCGAUAAUAGUGUGGUAGGCACAGCAAGCCACCAGAAACAAAAAUAAAAGAGGUGCCCAUUGGGACAUCCUCAAAAACGUUGAGGCUAAUACACGUUCGCAACAGUCGGCCACAAAAGAAAAAAACAUGCCUGUCACUCAGGAGAAAAAAGAGAGAGAGCAUGAAGCUUUACCUCAUCCUGUAACUUAACAAACCUACAGGUGUGGUGGUGGAUUGCAUUCAGCCGGUCUUCUCAUAUUUCAAGCAUCAAGACCAGCGCCCAAAAACACAAACAAAAGGAAGAAGAAUAAAAAACUCCUCUUCCUUCUUGUUGUGUGUGUAGUUGCGGCAGCAUGUCCCAUUUUGUUGGCUGACUCAGGCUGAUCCAAGUUGGGGAAUGGACAGCAGCUCUAGCAAGACACUAUAAACAAAAAAUCCAAAGAAAGAUGAUCUCUCUUCUGACCAAGGAAAAAAAGAGCCGCAGCAGUGCACAAGAAGGAAAACAUCCCUUUUCCUCUUUGCAAUACCUCUGCUUCGCGUGCUUUUUUUUGUCUGGCUUGAUCGCACGAAACUUCUGACCUAUCAGCUACUGGAUGGUUAGGUAGUGGCUAACCAUGGCUUUGACGGGUUACGGGGAAUUAGGGUUCGAUUCCGGAGAGGGAGCCUGAGAAACGGCUACCACGGCCAAGGUGGGCAGCAGGCGCGCAAAUUGCCCCAUGCCAACACAGAAAGCCUUGCGAGGCAGCAACGAACUGCAGCAACCUCACUUUGGUUCCUACGGAACCGGUGGGGAUUGGAAUGGAUGCAAUCCAAACAUAGUGAUGAGAAGCGAUUGGAGGGCAAGUCUGGUGCCAGCAGCCGCGGUAAUUCCAGCUCCAAAGGCGUAUGCUAACAUUGCUGCUGUUAAAACGCUCGUAGUCUGCUUCGGGCCUUCAGGUCUGUCUGGUGGCCGGUCUUUUUUCCCCCACACCUCUUCCCUCUCUUUCUCUCUCCUUCUUCCUCUCCUCCUUUCUUUUAUUAUUGCAUCUUCUUCCUCUUUUUCCUUUCCUGGAACAAAGAGAGAAGAGAGCGAUACAAAAGAGAGGGAAGAGAGAAGAUAGAGAAGAGAAGGGGGGGAGAAGGAGAGGUUAAAAAAACUGGAAUCUAAACACCAGCAGUAAGUCCCUGGGCCCACAACAAAUCUUAUCAAAAAAGGGUGUACAACAACUAACAGAAUGUGUAUCAACCCUGUGGUGCGAUCAGCUCCUGCUGGAAGGCUCCCUUCACUGGGAUAGCACAACAGCGGCGUUAUGCCUAGCAGUCAGGCCAAGUGGCGUACCGCGGGAGAGAUUGUUAUUAUUACAAUACACAUAUCUCCCCGUGUGGUUGCCCCACCUCCGGAGCCCACCACUCGUGAUACUCUGGCUAACUCAGUGUGCACAAAGCAAUCCAAUGUUUAUACAAACGUAUAUCUGGAUAAUUGUGGAAACACAAUAAACCGGAUGUGUGUUUAUUUUAGAAUAAGUGGCUGAAUGAUCUUCCAGUGAAUAUCAAAGCAUCGACCGACUUGUGGCCAAAAAGAGGAGAAAGUGUGUCCUCAAAAAACACACCUUUUCUCUCCUUUAUACCAUUGUGCUGGCCUUGAAGCCCAGUCCGGGCAAUGUGGUGCAAAAAACAUGUGGGAUUGUACAUAAUGAUUUAUAUGUAUGUAUAUCCUCUCCACCACACAACCAACACAACACAUGUUGUUGCUGUUGUUGUGCGUGGGCAAAAAUGGAUAUAUAUAUAGAUUCAUCGUAUGUACUUCUCCACAUUUGCUUACCAGACGUAUGUGAUGGGACCAGAAAUCGGGGUGAAAGGGACCCUGGCGCCAGAGGUGAAAUUCUUAGAUCGCCAUGAGACCAACAGUGGCGACGGCGCUUUGCAAGGCUGUGUUCGUCGAUCAAGAACGAGAGUCUGGGGAUCGAAGAUGAUCAGACACCAUUGUAGUCCAGCACCGUAAACGAUGCCAGCUCGGUCCUGGUCGGGAAAGAGAUUCAAAUUCCCACCUGACACCCGACCAGGUGCCCGUUCAUCUAUACCUCCACAACGAGAAAUCCAAGCCAUUGGGUUCAGGGGGAAGUAUUGUUGCAAGGCAGAAACUUAAAGGAAUUGGCGGAAUGGCACCACAAGGUGUGGAGCAUGCGGCUUAAUUUGACUCAACGCGGGGAAUCUUACCAGGUCAGGACACAUCCAGGAUGGACAGACUGCGAGCUCUUUCUUGAUUGUGUGGACGGUGGUGCAUGGCCGCUCCUGAUUGGUGGAGUGAUUUGUCUGGCUGAUCCCGGUAACGAGUGAGAUCUCUGCCUUCCAGUAGCCCCCGGUUCGCACAUACAAGUCUAUAUGUACUCCUUUUACACAGUCCUUGCGGCACACAUUAUAUUGGAGUGGGAAUGGAUGCGAGAGAAGAGGGGAACAGAGAGGAGAGGGGGGAGAGAAAGAAGGAGAAAAGACACCUGUUUUUUCCACCCUUUCUUCUCCUCUUUCUCUCUUCUUCGGUCUCUCUUCUCUUUCUACUCGUUCCUCUCUCUUCUUUUGUUGUGCUCAAGUACACCGUGUGUGUGGUACAUAUAUUCUUCUUUUUUAGUAGGGAUUCCAAGAGGGGUGAUGUGCUUCUUUUGUGUGGCAACACACGAAAAAAAUACAUCGUUUAUACCCCUUUCCCGAGAGCCGGGGUUUUGAAAUGAAACCAGCUUCUCUGAGGUGCUGCACCCGAAUCUAACUCCAAGGGUACGCAUGCGAGAGCCAACAGCAGGUCUGUGAUGCUCCCAGAUGUCCUGGGCGGCACGCGUUCUACACUGGUUCAGUGAAGGUGCACAUGCCUUCCGAAUUCUUUUGACAAAAAAGAGGCUUUUGGGGUGGAGAGAAAAAAGAGAGGAGAUAUUCUCUCUUCUUUUCUCUCUUUCCGUCUCGAAAGUUUCUCUCCUUGGCCGAGAGGUCCUGGGCAACCCUCCGAGCCUGAGCCGUGACUGGGAUAGAUGAUUGCAACUGUCUUUCUUGAACGAGGAAUACCUAGUAUGCCCGGGUCAUCAGCCCGGACGGACUAAGUCCCUGCCAUUUGUACACCCCGCCCGUCGUUGCUACCGAUGAUGGCUCGUCAGAGCCUUUUGUGAGGCCCGAACGUGCAUUAUACACUCGUGCUUCUCCUUACACCCUACUGUGACCACCCCCGGACACAACUGUGCUUGUGUUUUACUCCGGUAAAAUAUAUGUCACAGUUGGGGAAGAGGGUGUAGUGGGUGUGUAAGGAGGAAAAGUGUUG